rnacentral:rRNA from 1 species
CAUAGAAUCUUAUAGAUUUAGAUAUAUAUCGGUUAUGGAUGAGCUUGCGGGGUAUUAGGUAGUUGGUGUGGUAAUGGCGCACCAAGCCCAAGAUGCCUAGCCGGUUUGAGAGAACGAUCGGCCACACUGGGACUGAGACACGGCCCAGACGCUUACGAGCGGCAGCAGUGGGGAAUAUUGGACAAUGGGCGAAAGCCUGAUCCAGUGAUAUCGCUUUGGGGAUGACGGCGACAUACGUUGUAAACCCAAUGAAGUACGUUUAGAUUAUGACCGUAGGUAUUUUAGAAGUCCCGG